rnacentral:lncRNA from 1 species
UGUAACUACCAGCUACACCAUGUGUUACGAGGAAGAUCAGGUGUAGCAAAAUCCUUCCUAACCCUCAGACAUCAUGGUACACAUAGAAAAUAAUAAUAUCAUUUCUGUUUAAUAUUAGGUGUUGGUGUCAACAGAAGAGACUGCACAUGACCAGACGUGACCAGCUUAGGGGUUCCAGCAAAUCACCCUGCUUCUGGCCACCCAGGACUGAGGUGAUUGAUAUGUGGAACCCAGUCGUAGUUACUCAACACACUUCUGUACCACCCAAUGCUAACUGGAAAGCUCUGGUGCAGGAGUCCUCACAAGAAUUAAUCCCAUUCCCUUUGGCACCUAAAAAGUGAACUGCCAUGUUAUCCAGCAAUCCCACUGCUGGGUAUAUACCCAAAAGAAAGAAAAUCAGUAAAUCAAACAGAUGUCUGCACUUUGAUGUUUGUUGCAGCAUGGUUUACAUAGCUAAGAUUUGGAAGCAAUGUAAGUGUCCAUCAACAGAUGAAUGGAUAAAGAAAAUGUGGUAACUAGACACAGCAGAACUUUAUUGAAUAUUUUCCAUUUGUAUUUACUCAGAAUAAAGAGGCAAAUAAAAUGUUGAC